rnacentral:rRNA from 1 species
UAUUCGACUCNCGCGGGAAACUCACCCGGCCCGGACGUGAAAAGGAUUGACAGAUCGAAAGCUCUUUCUUGAUCUUGCGAAUGGUGGUGCAUGGCCGUUCUUAGUUCGUGGAACAUUUUGUCUGGUCGAUUCUGAUAACGGACGAGACUCGAACGAUGCAUGUCUGAUAAGCGGUCGCUUGCCGUUUCGCUUGAAUGCGCGGCAGCCGAGGCGAACCGAAAACUUUGUAAACUUGACGGACCGGCGGCGUUGAUGUGUAAGCCGCACGAGAUCGAGCGAUAACAGGUCUGUGAUGCCCUUAGAUGUCCGGGGCUGCACGCGCGCUACAAUGGUCGGAGCAGAAUGAAAAGAGACGGCUCCGCUUGGCGGGCGGUCCUUCGGGGCCCCCGUUCAUACUGGUAGACCGUUCCCCGGGUCGACGGGCCCGGGAGAUCGGCUGGAAUCUCGAUCGUGAUCGGGACAGAGUCUUGUAAUUGUUACUCUCAAACGAGGAAUUCCUAGUAGGCGCGAGUCAUGACCUCGCGUCGACUGCGUCCCUGCCCUUUGUACC